UUACAAUGGUCGGUACAGAGGGCAGCUACCUGGUGACAGGAUGCUAAUCUCGAAAACCGGUCUCAGUUCGGAUCGAAGUCUGCAACUCGACUUCGUGAAGCUGGAUUCGCUAGUAAUCGCGCAUCAGCUAUGGCGCGGUGAAUACCGGUUCCCGGGCCUU
rnacentral:rRNA from 1 species